rnacentral:rRNA from 1 species
UACGAAGGGGGCGAGCGUUGUUCGGAUUUACUGGGCGUAAAGGGCGCGCAGGCGGCUCCAAAAGUCAGGCGUGAAAGCCCCGGGCUUAACCUGGGAGGUGCGUCUGGGACUGUGGGGCUAGAGUUCGGGAGAGGAGCGUGGAAUUCCCAGUGUAGAGGUGAAAUUCGUAGAUAUUGGGAAGAACACCGGUGGCGAAGGCGGCGCUCUGGACCGAGACUGACGCUGAGGCGCGAAAGCGUGGGGAGCAAACAGG